AGUGGGCGCGCGGCGCACGCGCACUUGUUCCCGACCGCCGACGUUGUGUCGGCUUUCGCGUCUUCGAGGCUCGAGAGGGACGACGGAGAGAAGAAAUCGAAGGGAAAGCGAGUGGAGUUCCUCCCCUCGCUUCCUCCUUUGGUUUCUUGCUGCUUCUUGGCGAGGAGGCGUGGACAGCUCCCGUGGCCUUCCGUUGUCAGCAUCUUUGUUGUGCAGUGCUAGAAAAAAAGGUUUCUCCUUUUGCUCCUCCUGCUUUCCUCUUUGGUAGGAAAGCGCUGGGACUCGUAGGCGAACUCGCGGCCGUUCGUCUGAUGGCAGUGGGUGGUAGCUUCUAUCAAUGGCAGAAAGAUGCGUUCUUUUCCGCGGCGGAGGCGGUUCAGGAAUCGGCCGACAUAAUGGAAUCUACUUAUAGAAUGUGGACGCGAAACCGUAGGAAUGGAUUUGGUUUAGAAGCUUCAGAUGAAUUGAGUACGGAGCUUCAAACUGCUCUGGGCACUGCAAAGUGGCAGCUGGAGGAGUUUGAGAAGGCCGUCAGAGCGAGUCAUGGCAAUUACUCGUCCCAGGAGAAUAAUACAAUCGAUAGGCACUGGCAGUUUGUUGCUGCGAUACGAAAUCAAAUUUUGCUUGUUGAGAAAGAACUGAAUCAUUCGCUCAUCGUAGAAGGGAAGCGACCACUGCGGUGGGUGCAAUUGAAUGACGACGAACGAGAUGAUCUUGCAGUUUUUCUUUCUGGUGUGCCGCACAAAUUUCAACGACCAAAGCAUAAAAACACUGAGCUUGCGAGGAAUUUUAAGGAUGUGGUCACAAUCAAUAAGGGCAAGGAAUGUGUAGAGGAAUUCAGAGCAAAAGAACUGUACAAAAGCAAGGUUGAUGAAGUGCAUGCAAAGGUAGUGCAGUUAAAUGGGCAAACCGGGGUACUGAGUUCACCAGAUAGCGGUGGUGCUUGGAAAAUUGUAAUUGCCAAUGAGGACACCGAUAAAGGAUCAACUGAAGUUGGACCAGAGAUAUUAAAUCAUGGAUAUAGUCAAUCUGGUAUCCUGGGAAAUGUUGAAUCUACAUCAAAGUUGAAAUUGUUUAAGAACAAUCCGUGGAAGGCUAAAAAUGAGGAGCUUCUUCCGUUGAGGAAUGGGUUGUCAUAUUACCUUGACUCAAAGGGAAUAAGGUGGUUUGCUCAGGGAGUUAAUGGUUUUACGGAAAGAAGCAAGAAUUGUUUUAGCCAUGGCGGAUUCCAAAGGAAUAUAUUGGGAUCACAACAACAGAUGCAUUUUGUGCAUUCCCUCCGAAUUGCUUUCUUGCUCAUGUUGAGUAUUAUUUUAGUCGUACCAUUUGUUCUUUACUCCACAUGAAGAGAUCCUUGGUCAUUAAAGAAGUACGAGGUACGUACUAACUCUAAGAUCGGUUGUCGUAAUAGCUUUCAGAUCUCUCUUUAAUUUUAAAUGAUAAAAGUGAUGACAGAAUUUUAGAUUGUAUCUCUAGAUGUUUCAUAAGAACAUCAUUUUGGCCAAGAUCCCAACGGAGACCAGAUGAUAUACAAAUUCAAUCGACAACAUAUCUGGUGUAAGCUCAAAAAAUAGAUAUGCACAGUGUGAUCCAAGUUUUGGAACCUUGCACAUUAUGUAUAGUCAAUAGCAUGGGAGGAAAAUUUAAAAGAGGUGUAUAUUUCGUUGACAAAAACAAUGAAGCAGAAAUUGCAAGGAUGCUAGCAGACACUAAGAUCUACCAAAGCCACCAUCUACAUACAGUACUCAUUAGGCCUUCACUUUUGUUGAAGCCCAAUCUGCCAUCCAAGGAUUUGGCUUAUUGGAUGAAUGACUAUUUUAAAAUGGCGGAAUAAAAGUUUAGUGUCCUGUGAAGGCAAGCAUGGUAUAUUACUUCUCGAAAUUAAUUGACUUUUGUUGGGUUGACUCGGUUUGCUUCCUGGUCUAGAAGUGGACCAAGACGACGAUGGCACACAAGGUUAGAUCAAAGAUGGGAUAGCAAAUAGCCAACGGCCCUGAUCUCAUCAUCAACAACACAACAGCAUAAAUUUCCCUGCAGCACAAGUUGUGUUCUCAUAUUGCGUCAAAUGCGAAAACAAAAAUGAAAGGAUUAAACGCAUUUCUUUGCCGGCCAA